rnacentral:rRNA from 1 species
UGGGGAAUAUUGGACAAUGGGCGCAAGCCUGAUCCAGCCAUGCCGCGUGAGCGAUGAAGGCCCUAGGGUUGUAAAGCUCUUUCACCGGUGAAGAUAAUGACGGUAACCGGAGAAGAAGCCCCGGCUAACUUCGUGCCAGCAGCCGCGGUAAUACGAAGGGGGCUAGCGUUGUUCGGAAUUACUGGGCGUAAAGCGCACGUAGGCGGACUCUUAAGUCAGGGGUGAAAUCCCGGGGCUCAACCCCGGAACUGCCUUUGAUACUGGUAGUCUUGAGUUCGGGAGAGGUGAGUGGAAUUCCGAGUGUAGAGGUGAAAUUCGUAGAUAUUCGGAGGAACACCAGUGGCGAAGGCGGCUCACUGGCUCGAUACUGACGCUGAGGUGCGAAAGCGUGGGGAGCAAACAGG